rnacentral:rRNA from 1 species
AGUGGGGAAUAUUGGACAAUGGGCGCAAGCCUGAUCCAGCCAUGCCGCGUGAGUGAUGAAGGCCCUAGGGUUGUAAAGCUCUUUUACCAGGGAAGAUAAUGACGGUACCUGGAGAAUAAGCCCCGGCUAACUUCGUGCCAGCAGCCGCGGUAAUACGAAGGGGGCUAGCGUUGCUCGGAAUCACUGGGCGUAAAGCGCACGUAGGUGGAUCAUCAAGUCAGGGGUGAAAUCCUGGAGCUCAACUCCAGAACUGCCUUUGAUACUGGCGAUCUUCGAGUCCGGGAGAGGUGGGUGGAACUGCGAGUGUAGAGGUGAAAUUCGUAGAUAUUCGCAAGAACACCAGUGGCGAAGGCGGCUCACUGGCCCGGUACUGACACUGAGGUGCGAAAGCGUGGGGAGCAAA